rfam:Triticum aestivum genome assembly, contig: Triticum_aestivum_CS42_TGACv1_scaffold_643767_T_3AL-0.228954_5BL-0.137614
UAUAUACUCUUUCCAUCCGGAAAUACUUGUCCGAAGAAUGAAUGUACCUAAAUGUAUUUUAGUUUUACAUACAUUCAUUUAUAUCAAUUUCUACGACAAAUAUUUCCGGGCGGAGGGAGUACACU